rnacentral:piRNA from 1 species
UAUUCUGGGUCCCCACUGAUUAUCCCUGC